UUCAUUUAAAAUAAUAAUAUGUUUUCAAAAGUCCCUGUCGCGGCUUCGUGGCUUCUCGCUUCUCUUCCUUCGUGGACACCUCAGGAGGCUAGCUGCCACUGCGGCGCGAGCGCCGUAACCAAGGCAGCGAAGCAAGUGGGGGACACCAGCGGCGGGAGCCGCGCGCGCUAGAGGAAAACUUUCCACCGAUUCCUCGCGGAACCAAAUCAGGCGCGACAACCCCCACACCGUCCCUUACCUGGCGGUUGGUCCAUUUCCAGAUGCCGUCGUCUUGCCGGCUUCAUUUUAAGAUGAGCAGUGACAAGAGGAGGCUGGCGGAGGCUGACAAGGGCUCGACCGUACCAUCCUUCAGCUUUUUAUGGGGGUGCGGGUGGCUACUGUCGGUACACGAAUGCCCUAAAAUAUUUAUAAAGUGAUAACUCUCGUAACAAACACGGUU